rnacentral:rRNA from 1 species
GGACUCGCACAAGCGGUGGAGCAUGUGGUUUAAUUCGAUGCUAAGCGAAGAACCUUACCAGGGCUUGACAUGUAAGCAUAAGCUUGCGUGAAAGCGUGGAGUGAAUUUGGGCUUGCCCAAAUUGGUUUACACAGGUGCUGCAUGGCUGUCGUCAGCUCGUGCCGUGAGUGUCCGGUUAAGUCCGGUAACGAGCGCAACCCCCUAUUAUCAGUUGCCAUCACUUCGGGUGGGCACUCUGGUGAAACUGCUGGUUUUAAAACUAGAGGAAGGAGGGGGACGACGUCAAGUCAUCAUGGCCUUAUGUCCUGGGCUACACACAUGCUACAAUGGCAGAUACAACGGGUUGCGAACUCGCGAGGGGGAGCU